GAUGAAGAACGUAGCGAAAUGCGAUACGUAAUGUGAAUUGCAGAUCUCUCAGUGAACCAUCGAAUUUUUGAACGCACAUUGCGCCCCCUGGUAUUCCGGGGGGCAUGCCUGUCCGAGCGUCAUUGCUGCCCUCAAGCACGGCUUGUGUGUUGGGCCUCCGUCCUCCUCCCGGGGGACGGGCCCGAAAGGCAGCGGCGGCACCGCGUCCGGUCCUCGAGCGUAUGGGGCUUCGUCACCCGCUCUUGUAGGCCCGGCCGGCGCUUGCCGACACAUCAAUCUUUUUUCCAGGUUGACCUCGGAUCAGGUAGGGAUACCCGCUGAACUUAAGCAUAUCAAUAAGCGGAGGA
rnacentral:misc_RNA from 1 species